rnacentral:misc_RNA from 1 species
CUUUUUACCAGCAAAUGGCAGCGUAGAUGCCUUUGAAUCAUGCUGUUUCUUUUCUUUGUACUCCAGUACUCCUUAUGAGGUGACCAAUGAUAAGGCAAUUACGUGGUGUAUAAAGUCUUGCAAUACAGAAGCUCCUAGCUCAUAAACUAGUAUCAAUUUCUACAGGGAUUAGCGGAAGGGCCUCCUGCCAUAACAACAGUGCCGAGCUAAAGGCGAAGAUGAUCAGCCUAAUAUUCCUUGUGGUGUUUCUGGGAUGGAUUAUGAUUUGGGAUAUGUUGCCAACCAAGGUUUACCAAAAUACUUGGACUCCAAAGCUGUCGAGCGAGCUAAAUUCGACCCUUUUUGAAGGACAAGGAACAAACCUUCUGCUAUUUUCAUUCCCUGUGAUGUUCAUAGCAGCUUUUGGAAGUGUUUAUCUCCAUUUUCAGAAGAAACUGAGAAAACCCAGCUACAAGAGUGCUGCCGUUUCAAGCAAUCGUUUGUCCUUCUUGAAACGUCCAGUGCUUGUCGUGGCUCCUUUGGGCAUUGUUACUGCAAUGGAGAUUGCUUUUGCAGCCAUGUUUGUUGCACUCUUAAUCUGGUCUCUUGCCAACUACUUGUAUGUCAGUUUUGGUCAUCUCCACAUGCAUAAAGAAGGGGAGAAAAUAUGGCAAGCAAAGUUUAGAAGUGUAUCACUGCGACUUGGAUAUAUUGGAAAUAUAUGCUGGGCAUUUCUCUUCUUUCCGGUAACUCGAGGAUCUUCAGUUUUGGCUCUUGUUGGACUAACAUCUGAGUCGAGUAUCAAGUAUCAUAUUUGGCUCGGCCAUCUCUCAAUGAUCCUUUUCGCUGCACAUACCAUAGGUUUCAUCAUAUACUGGGCAAUGACAAACCAAAUGGCUCUGAUGCUAGAGUGGAGCAAAACCUGGGUAUCAAAUGUUGCUGGUGAGAUUGCAGUUGUGCUUGCAUUAGCAAUGUGGGUGACAAGCUCUCACCGCAUUAGGCGUAAAAUGUUUGAGGUUUUCUUCUACACCCAUCAUUUGUACAUUCUCUAUAUAUUAUUCUAUUUUUUGCAUGUUGGCGCUGCCUACUUCCGCAUGAUUUUGCCUGGGAUCUUCCUUUUCCUCAUCGAUCGAUACCUAAGAUUCUUACAGUCGAGGCAACAAGCUAGAUUACUCUCAUCUCGCCUCUUACCAUGUGGUUACAUUGAACUGAACUUCUCUAAGAGUAGAGGAUUGUAUUAUAAUCCAACAAGCAUACUAUUUUUGAAUGUACCAAGCAUUGCCAAGUUACAAUGGCACCCUUUUACUGUGACUUCAAACUGCGACAUGGAGCCAGAAACGCUAAGUGUAGUUAUUAAAAGACAGGGAAGUUGGUCUCAAAAGCUUUACCAAGAAAUUUCUUCUUCUGUAGAUCGCCUAGAAAUGUCGGUUGAAGGACCCUAUGGACCUACUUCAUCGCAUUUUCUAAGGCAUGAGUUGCUGAUGAUGGUGAGUGGGGGUAGCGGUAUCACUCCUUUUAUCUCCAUAAUCCGCCAGAUCAUUGUCCAAAGCACGCAACCAAACUGUCAAAUUCCACGAAUCUUUCUGGUUUGUGCAUUCAAGAAAUCAGCUGAUCUUGCAAUGCUAGACCUCAUGCUUCCCAUCAAUGGCACGCCUGCGCAGAUUACUCAACUGCAGCUGCAAAUUGAAGCUUAUAUCACUAGAGAGACAGAGCAGCCUAUCGCAGAUACCGAAAAGCAUCUCCAAACCAUAUGGUUCAAGCCAAACCCAUCAGACUCACCCAUCACGGCAGCUCUAGGACCCAAGAAUUGGCUAUGGCUUGGAACAAUAAUCGUAUCAUCAUUUGUCAUGUUCCUCCUCCUACUAGGCAUUGUUACUCGUUACUAUAUAUUCCCUAUUGAUCAGAACACAGAGGAAAUAUAUCAUUUUUCGUAUUUUGUACUUUGGGAAAUGUUAUUGGUCUGUGCCUGCGUCGUUAUUGCUUCCAGUGCAGCCUUCUUUUGGUGCAAGAAACAAAAUGAGCAAAUUCAGAACUUGGAAGUGCCAACUGCAACAGCAUCACCGGGCUCAGGGCCUUACGGUGCAGAUACAGAGCUGGAAAGCCUUCCCCAUCAGUCUCUUGUCCAGGCUACCAAGGUGCAUUUUGGAGCAAGACCUGAACUCAACAGUAAGCCCCUCUCAAUUGGACUGAUGUAUUUUUGUGACCUGAAUUGACUGAUUUCCCAUCGGCAUACAUUAACUAAUGCAGGGAUUUUAUCCGAGUGCAAAGGAUCAGAUGUUGGAGUCUUAGCCUGUGGACCAAGGGCAAUGAGACAUGAGGUUGCCAAAAUCUGUUCAUCUGGUUUGGCAGAUAACCUGCACUUUGAGUCUAUUAGCUUUGACUGGUGAGCUUAUAGUUACUAAGGAAACUCUGCUUGUGGAAUGUGGCUUGCAAAUAUUGGUAGCGCUAGCUAUUAUGUAUUAAAAAGACUUCCUUAAUUUGUAUGUGUUCUGUAACUCUUCCUUUCAAAAUCAAACUUCUUGAUAAAUCAACUCUUUUAUUUAUUAUCCUGGAA